UACGGAGGGUGCGAGCGUUGUCCGGAAUCACUGGGCGUAAAGGGCGCGUAGGCGGUUUGGUAAGCGUGCGGUGAAAGCCCGGGGCUCAACCCCGGGUCUGCCGUGCGAACUGCUGGACUAGAGCACUGUAGAGGCAGGUGGAAUUCCGAGUGUAGCGGUGGAAUGCGUAGAGAUUCGGAGGAACACCAGUGGCGAAGGCGGCCUGCUGGGCAGUAGCUGACGCUGAGGCGCGACAGCGUGGGGAGCAAAC
rnacentral:rRNA from 1 species